ensembl:lncRNA
CAGGGAGGGCACAGGCAUGAAUGUGAUGCAGGAGAGGCUAAGGUUUGAAUGUGUUGCCAGGGAGGCUUAGGCUUGAAUGUGUUGCAUGGGAGGCUCAGACUUGAAUGUGUUGCAGGGAGGGCACAGGCAUGAAUGUGAUGCAGGAGAGGCUUAGGCUUGAAUGUGUUGCACGGGAGGCUCAGGCUUGAAUAUGUUGCAUGGGAGGCUUAGCAUAGAAUGUGUUGCAGGGGAGGCUCAGGCUUGAAUGUGUUGCACGGGAGGCUUAGGAUUGAAUGUGUUGCAUGGGAGGCUCAGGCUUGAAUGUUUUGCAGGGGAGGCUCAGGCUUGAAUAUGUUGCAGGGGAGGCACAGGCAUAAAUGUGUUGCAGGAGAGGCUCAGGCUUAAAUGUGUUGCAUGGGAGGCUUAAGAUUGAAUGUGUUGCAUGGGAGGCUCAGGCUUAAAUGUGUUGAAGGGGUGGCUUAGGAUCGAAUGUGCUGCAAGGUAGGCUU